UAAUGAAUAUGCAACUAUAACAUUCAUGGGCAUUUCAUUAGUAUAAUACCCAUAGAAUGAUGCUAAAUACAAGCAAACAAUCACUAAAGUUAUGAAAAAUAAAGAGAAAUUCAUGUUUUGAUGAUGAAUUUUAUCUAGAAGGUUAAGAGAUGAAGAAGUUGUGCAAAUAAAUGGUUGAAGGAACAAGUAUUUAUAGGACAAAAACUAGCCGUUUAUGACCGUUGGUGAAUAGUGAUCAUGACCGUUGGGGGUAUAGUUGUUUUCUAUUAUGAGAUUUUAACAAUUCUAAGUUGUUGUAGUAACCAACAGGUGGGAAUAAUUAAUUUAUGGGUGUUAGAGAAACAUUUUCAGAAAAGUUUGUGAGUCAAAAAUGUUAAACUAAGUAAUAUAAGAAGAUUGGGAAAUUUUCUUUUUUUUACUAUUCACCGGGUACUAUUCAUAGUGGGUCCCACAGUGGGGUCCGCAAGGGUCCCACAGCGGGGUCCACCCCAUGGGUCCCACAUGUUGAUGCAGUAGUGAUAUAGUGAUGACUUAAGCAAAUUACUAUGCUUGAUAUUUUGAAUAUUUUAUUAUUUUACUAUGCUUGAUAUUUUUAAUAUUUUAUUAUUUUACUAUGCAGCAUAGUAACCCAAUGUUUUCCUAUAAAUAGAGCCUUUCAGAAUUCAUUUUGAAUUACGAAAAAUCUUUCUUUCUCUCACUCUGCCUAAAAUCUUCUUAACACUCUUUUAAAGUUUUAAAUCUCUAAAAUCUAGGCGAAGUUCUGUUUGUAACGCUAGCCUACGAAGACCUUUUUGGGAAGCUAACAAUUUCGGUUGUUUUAUCAAGACGCAAGGUAAGAGGCCCCAAAUAUAAAUCGUUGAUGAGUAUACGUGGAGCCAACAUGACUGUACAUAUGGGGCUGACCUGAAGGGAGUGGAGUUCUGCUAUGCUAUUUUAUAAAUAAACAAGAAACUUGGUUUUAUUAUAUUUCAUUAAAAGUAUUUUGUGAACUUUAUCAUUUACUUAAAGCUUUAAAAGUAUUUUAUGAACUUUGUAAUUUACAUAAAGCUUUUCAAUUUAUCAGUUGGAUACAUUUUCAUUUCUACGUUAAGGUGUAGUAACGUCACGAAAAUGAUUUAUAAAAGUAUUAAGAUUUGUAUGUAAGAUAAAGUUUUUAUUUAGUUGUGAGUAUUGUGUGGUUUGAGGUUAUAAACAUUAUUUAUGUAUUGUUUAAUAAAGUUUUUGUAAAUUCAGAAUUUCAGUAUUGUCGUAUUUAGGUUAAAAUUUGUUUUUACACUAUACAUGUAUGUUAAGAAAGGAGGUCGUUAAAGAGCUGGUAAAUUGUUAAAAGUUGAGGAAAUAAAGUUCCGGAAGGAAAGAGUUGCGUCUCUGCGUAAUAACAGACGAGGAUCUGUAAGGUGUUCAGAGAAAGAAGGGAGAGUUCUGACUCCUAUUUCAACAUGAAAUUCAGAAGUUGUACUAAGGGUUAGGCCGGCGGGGCCUACAAGCUGAUCCCACCUAGUAGAGGUGAUGACUUUUGAGUAUCUCUGGAAUCAAGAAUAAGACAGUGAAUUGGUCAUUGUAACCUAGGCAGACCCUGGGCUUCGGCAGGGUUGCGGUGUAACGAGAGGCUAUCGAGAGUAUGGCUAUUAGACAAGAUCUUGUGGGGAAAAAUUGUUACUCUUGUAAGAGUGUGGUUGAAAAGUAAAGUAAAGGCGGUGGACCUUGGAAGUGUGGUCAGAGUUGCGGGUUUACAGACUGAUAUGUUGGAUAAAUUUCGAGGACGAAAUUUUUAUGAGGAGGGGAUAGUUGUAACGACCCAAAUUCGCUAAUAAGGCUUAAGGGCCUUGAUUAGCGUGCCAGGAGGGCAUGAUGGGAUUUAUGUAUGAUUUUAAUUAUUUAAAUGCAUGGUUAUGAUUUAAAGCAUGUUAUAUGACUAUUUGUUUAUCUGAGAUGCAUGACUAUGUAAGUUAGUGUGCAUGUAGGCCCGGAUCGUGUUAGAAGGGCAUAAUUGUAAUUUUGGCCAUGAUUGGGCGUAACUGUAUUGAUAUGUGUUAAUUGUUGAGGCCACAGUGGUAUGUGGAUGUGUCUGUGCUUUGUGACUCGAGGCGAUCCCAGUGAGCAGGCUAGCGGAAAGUGUUGACAGGAAUUUAUACCCAGCUCGGGGCGAGCCUGGGGGUAUGAACAGGAAUUCAGAGAAAUAGAUUGAGAUUUAUUUUGAUGAUGGGGGAUAAUUAUUUGGUGAUUUAUCAGGUAUUCGGAAGCAACGGGAAAAUAUUAGAGACACUUGGGGAUUAGCGGGAAUUGGGUGAAUGACUAAAAUGGCCCUACUUGAACAAAAGGAUUUAGAAUUUAUAGGGAGGGCGUUUUGGUCAUUUGGCUUUGAGAUAGGUUAAGUGAGGUUUUAUACACUUAGUGGGUUUUGUAGAAAAGGGUAUAGGCUGAAAAGAAAGGAAGGAAAAGAAAGAAAGAAAGAGAGAAAAACGGAUGGGUUUUGAAGGGAUCGGUUUGGG